rnacentral:misc_RNA from 1 species
AGCAGCCGCGGUAAUUCCAGCUCCAAUAGCGUAUAUUAAAGUUGCUGCAGUUAAAAAGCUCGUAGUUGAAUUUCGGGACCAAUAUGUCGGUCGUGCCUCGGUACGUACUGGCAUCGUUGGUUUCUCCUUUCUGAAGAACCAUGAUGUCAUUUAUUUGGUGUCGUGGGGAAUCAGGACUGUUACUUUGAAAAAAAUUAGNGUGUUUAAAGCAGGCUCACGCUUGAAUACAUUAGCAUGGAAUAAUGAAAUAGGACGUUUGAUUCUAUUUUGUUGGUUUCUAGGAUCGACGUAAUGAUUAAUAGGGAUAGUUGGGGGCAUUAGUAUUCAAUUGUCAGAGGUGAAAUUCUUGGAUUUAUUGAAGACUAACUACUGCGAAAGCAUUUGCCAAGGAUGUUUUCAUUAAUCAAGAACGAAAGUUAGGGGAUCGAAGACGAUCAGAUACCGUCGUAGUCUUAACCAUAAACUAUGCCGACUAGGAAUCAGACGAUGUUAAUUUUUUAAUGACUCGUUUGGUCACCUU